AUACGUAGGUGACAAGCGUUAUCCGGAUUUACUGGGCGUAAAGGGCGUGUAGGCGGUCUUGCAAGUCAGAAGUGAAAUUCCUGAGCUCAACUCGGGCGCUGCUUCUGAAACUGCAGGACUUGAGUGCUGGAGGGGAUAGCGGAAUUCCUAGUGGAGCGGUAAAAUGCGCAGAUAUUAGGAAGAACACCGGUGGCGAAGGCGGCUUACUGGGCUUUUACUGACGCUGAGGCUCGAAAGCGUGGGGAGCAAACAGGAUUAGAUACCCUGGUAGUCCACGCUGUAAACGAUGAUUACUAGGUGUAGGGGGUAUCGACCCCUUCUGUGCCGCAGUCAACACAAUAAGCAUUCCGCCUGGGGAGUACGGCCGCAAGGUUGAAACUCAAAUGAAUUGGCGGGG
rnacentral:rRNA from 1 species